GUAGAGCGAGGGCACUGGGUCCACCUCCCCCCGUGUCUAUCGUACCUUGUUGCUUCGGCGGGCCCGCCGUUUCGACGGCCGCCGGGGAGGCCUUGCGCCCCCGGGCCCGCGCCCGCCGAAGACCCCAACGUGAACGCUGUUCUGAAAGUAUGCAAUCUGAGUUGAUUAUCGUAAUCAGUUAAAACUUUCAACAGCGGAUCUCUUGGUUCCGGCAUCGAUGAAGAACGCAGCGAAAUGCGAUAAGUAAUGUGAAUUGCAGAAUUCAGUGAAUCAUCGAGUCUUUGAACGCACAUUGCGCCCCCUGGUAUUCCGGGGGGCAUGCCUGUCCGACCGUCAUUGCUGCCCUCAAGCACGGCUUGUGUGUUGGGCCCCCGUCCCCCUCUCCCGGGGGACGGGCCCGAAAGGCAGCGGCGGCACCGCGUCCGGUCCUCGAGCGUAUGGGGCUUUGUCACCUGCUCUGUAGGCCCGGCCGGCGCCAGCCGACACCCAACUUUAUUUUUCUAAGGUUGACCUCGGAUCAGGUAGGGAUACCCGCUGAACUUAAACAUAUCAAUAAGCGGAGGAA
rnacentral:rRNA from 1 species